AGGCAGUGAAAUGUUAGCUGGUUUAAUUGAUUUCACCAGCUUACUUUUUUACUGCCCUC
rnacentral:pre_miRNA from 1 species